rnacentral:sRNA from 1 species
AGGUGAAAGACAGUGAAUAAAAGAAUUCAUUUGACAAAGCCUAGGACUAUUUUGAAUGGUCUCGUCCUGAGAUAUUUAUCAAGCGGGGACCAACACUUUGCAGACAAUCGUAAUUUUUCCCUACUGCCAUCUUCAAAAGUGCUACCUUUGACAGUGAUAAAAGACACCUCUUAGUCCUAGUGGCCGAACAAUUGAUCUAAUUGUCUUCACUGUUCCCUCUUUUCUAUCACAGAAUCGGAAGACUUUUUGAUGGUACAGAGCCCAUUGUUUUGGACAGUCUCAAACAGCACUAUUUCAUUGACAGAGAUGGACAGAUGUUCAGAUAUAUCUUGAAUUUUCUACGAACAUCCAAACUCCUCAUUCCUGAUGAUUUCAAGGACUACACUUUGUUAUAUGAAGAGGCAAAAUAUUUUCAGCUUCAGCCCAUGUUGUUGGAGAUGGAAAGAUGGAAGCAGGACAGAGAAACUGGUCGAUUUUCAAGGCCCUGUGAGUGCCUCGUCGUGCGUGUGGCCCCAGACCUCGGAGAAAGGAUCACGCUAAGCGGUGACAAAUCCUUGAUAGAAGAAGUAUUUCCAGAGAUCGGCGACGUGAUGUGUAACUCUGUCAAUGCAGGCUGGAAUCACGACUCGACGCACGUCAUCAGGUUUCCACUAAAUGGCUACUGUCACCUCAACUCAGUCCAGGUAUAGCAUUGUUACGCACUGUGUGGCAUCAAAUGCCACUCUUACUGUUGUCACUUAACCUUGCCCUCACAUGGUGCCUUUCCUCCAAAGAGCUGAGAAACUCACUCAGUGACACUUCUGUUGGGUAGGUGAAUUAUCACCCUCUAUAGCAGUCAUUCCGUAAGUCUUGUGAUUAUGCCAGGUGCUGGGAUGAGCACUGGAGAUACAGAAGAGACAGAUAUAGAACACAACAGCUGGGCACGGUGGCACACGCCUAUAGUCCCAGCCACUCCAGAGGCUAAGGCAGGAGGAUCACUUGAGCCCAGGAGUUCAGGUUCAGCCUGGGCAACAUAGUGAGACAGACAGACACAGAACACAAUGGACAGCUCUGUGUUCAUGGAACUGCAUUAUGGGAGUGGAGUGGGAGGCAAACAGUCAACAUAAAUAUAUUGCCCAGGAGGUGGUAAGUGGAUUUCUGGGGCAGAGUAUGCUGGCAUAUUGAGGACUAUCAGGAAAGCCAGUUUGGCUUGAAGAAAGUGACUCAGGGAGAGAGAGUACCCAGACAGGAGGCCCGGGAAAAUCAGGGACAGAUCACGGAGAGCCUCGUUAGGAGGUGGCAAGUGCCCUAGGAUUGUUUAUUUUGGCAUCUUUUGGUUUUGGUUCGUUUGUGUAUGUGAGCCAAAUGGAAAUCCAUUGGAGGGUUUUGAGCAGAAGGGAGAACUGACAGAACUCGUAUUUUAAAGUGAACAUUGCGACAGCAGCUAGAGAAUAGGAGAAACAAGGAGACAAGGCAGCAAGCUGUGGUUCAAGCAGUUGAAAAGUGUCCAGUUGUGUGUGUCUGGAGGGUAGAGCUAAUAAGGUUUUCUGACGAUGGCUGUGGGUUGUGAGACAUAAGCCCGGGAUGACUAAGAUUUUUGACAGAGGAACUGGGUGAGUGGAACUGCCAUUUCCUGAGAUGGAGAAGUGUAGGGGAGCAAGAGAUGUGGGGGUGGAAUUGAGAACUCAGAGGCUAAUGUGUGCUGAGCACCGACUCUCUGCCCUACCCUGGGCCAUGGCCUGAACAUGUGUUGUCUUCUUACAACCCUAACAGGUAAGCACUGUUAAUCCUCUCUGUCUUGCUGAUGGGAAGGCAGAGGCACACCUGGGUCUCGAUUCCAGCUCCGUGUGACACAAAACCAUUUGAAGUCAAUGGAGUGAGGGUUCUAGUUUUUUCCCUCUUUUUAACUGGAAUGGGCCCAUGACUUUGUUCAGUAUUUAGUCAGCAGAACCCUUCCCAAAGCACAGAGACUAGAAGCACCCACUCUUCUGUGCUGCCUCUUGAGGAUUGUUCCACUACUAUUUAUAACUCUUUAAAAUAUAUGAACAGAUGUCUGAGAACAGAAGAGCAGAAAACUGGCAGAAAAUGUUCCCUAAGCAUGCUAGCGGAAGGCACAUGGUCCCAGGCGGCGGGGUGGCUGCUGGGUCGCAGGGUUCCCGAGGACGAGCUUCGCGUUCUCACCUGUGCGGAGAGCGCCCCCUGGAGGUGUGUGGUGCUCCCGCAUGGCCCUGCACAGCGUUCCUGAGACGGCCUCAGCAGUUUAAGCCUCCUUAAAGCCCAGAAAGCCUGUCCCGUUCCACACAACAGCCUGCCCUGGCUAUCACUGGAGCAGACAGAGGGGCAGAACCAUUCAGAGCCAGGACAGGAAGGCCUCGGCCACACCUUCGGGCCAGUGAAUAACGAUCAUCAAUUCAUGUGCUUGACAGUUUCCCACAUCAGAUAUGGAAAUUUUCAUCUGGAUUAACGUGGUCAUAUGACACAGCCAUGACCUACCCUUGCGUCCUGCUCCACCGACCAAGAAAUAGGCACCAGCCUAUGGGCACGCAGAGACUCUGGGAUAAGGCUUACGACACCCGAUACCUCACUAAGUUGUUAUGUGAUCACUGUUUAAGGAACUUUGCUGUGAACGUGUUGUUGCUUCCAAAGUAAUGGCUCCAUCAGCUGUUUGCAUUACAUUGAAAUAAGCUUUUGACCACAUCCAAGGUAACAUUGGAUCACAUUGAAUAAUUAUCACAUGAUGCCUAUCGGACUCCGAAGAAGAGCUUAGCGAUUUCCUCCUGUUAGCAUUUAGUGACCUUAAGACUCAAAGAAAAAUGGACAUCAGGGUUAGGUUCUCUGCCGUUCAUGGCUUCCUCCCCUUUGGAUUUCCUCUCCUAAUCAUGGCAAGGGAUCUUUUCCAGGGUGCUGGUUUGGCCAAGCAAGCUGGGAUGCCUCUUGCUGAGGCUGCAUUCCUGCCUCUGCUGGGGAAUCCAUGGAGGGAGCUGUUCUUCGUCUUUGUAUUUACCUGCCACCAAAGCACAUCUUGAUUUUGAAUUUAGGGAUUGUUUUCUUCCUGUCCUUAUGCUGACAGGUAUGCAUAUGCAUUGUGAAUUUACCUACAGAAAUAGAGCACUGCUGGGUAGAAUGUUAAUUUUGUUCUUAUAAGGACUUGUGUAUGUUUUUUUAAUUUGCCAGCACUUGAGGUUUUAAUUUUUAGAAAACAAAACAUACUCUCUUGCUUUCCCAUCUCAUCUAGUAAGCUGUUUUGCAACAUAGCAGACUAUAUUCUAUAUUGAAGUAGGCAACUAAAAAAUAUUACUUUUUAAAAAAGUAAGGAUUCACUUUACAUUGACUACAUUUCAGUUCAUCCCAAUAAAAGUUUUUUUGAGGUGGGUUUUUUUUGUUUUGUUUUGUUUUUAAGUAAGUUAUGAUUGAAUCACUUUGCCUUUAAGGUGGUGUGGAAGUAAUUUAAUUAUAUUCAGAACUUGGGCAGGAAACAUUUGCAAGUCUAAUAUUUGUUGGAUUCCUAAAGAAACAGAAUGCUCCAGAUCAGUUUCCUGUAUUUUUGUCUAUCUAAUCUAAGAGUCACAGGUACUGUUUCCUGCAUUUAACAGUGUCAGACAUGUAGUGCCAAACCCAGGAAUCUUGCUGGCGUUAGGUAUUUGAUUUCAAAAUUAAGGAACAGAUUCUAUGGCUUACAUUUGUAUAAGAAGUUUAGAAUAUCUUUAUUUUUCAUACAUUUUCUAAUAUGUAAUCAUUGUGCUGGUUCUUGUCUCCUUGAAUGAAUGCAGGGCAAUAAAUCUGUUUCAGAUGUUACAAACUUGAAAACCUGUAGAUAAUCCUCUAGUGUCUUCAGUAAUCCCUUUGUUCUGCUAUUGAAAUUACAUCAGUCUUCCAGGCCAAAACAUAUAUAUUAACUCGGUAUUAGGAAACUUGAACAAAGGCGGAGUUGAGAGUACAAAUGAAUCACUGACUAAGUAAACUCUGCCAUCACUGUCCUUUCCAGAUUCUUUAUCAUCUCAUAGGAUGUAUUUUAGUGAUAAAUGAGCUUUGAAAUGUGAACCCUCAUUUUUGACAGAGAGGGCAGCAUUGCAUAUACAAAAACAGGAGAUUUGAGGCCAAACAGACCUGAGUUGGAAACCCAGUCCCAUCACUGACUAGCCAUGAACCUCAGUUUUCUCAUCUAUAAAAUGGGCCUAACACCACCGAGCGUUGUAGCUGGUGUGUGUAAAGCAAGCAUGAAAGGCACAUUUUAGGCAUUAGAAAUGCUUGCUUCCUCUCUCCUGCCCAUUAAUCCAGGGUCUUCCUUUGAGAGGAGCAGCUCACAGGGACAUGGGUGCUGGAUGAGAUGAACCAGAGUGCACAUAAUCUCAAACUUUGGGGUGUUUAUGUAGCCAUAGGACUUACCUCACCCCUAACUGGAUGCUUGUCUUGUUCCCUUGCAGGUCCUCGAGAGGUUGCAGCAAAGAGGAUUUGAAAUCGUGGGCUCCUGUGGGGGAGGAGUAGACUCGUCCCAGUUCAGCGAAUACGUCCUUCGGCGGGAACUGAGGCGGACGCCCCGUGUACCCUCCGUCAUCCGGAUAAAGCAAGAGCCUCUGGACUAAAUGGACAUAUUUCUUAUGCAAAAAGGAAAA